rnacentral:lncRNA from 1 species
CACACCCACACACACACACCACAUACACACCACACACACAGAGUCGACUGGCUGAUACCAUGGCAACAAGAGACAGGGCCAGGGGUUAAGAGGUCGUGGAGCGCGCUCAGAUGGACUCGCAGACUGAACUCUGGGAGAUUUUAUUUAUUAACAAACACGGCUGUUAUGUCAGCUGUCGUAGUGAGGUCGUAGCACUACAUGAAGCUCCUGAAGGAUCCUUACAGCCGGACGAAGAGUGUCAGAAGACCCUCUGAUGAUGAAGAUGAGGAUGAUGAGUUUAACACAAACGGACUGGAUGUUUUUUUUCCUCUAAAGAUGAUUUGUCAAUUUGUAAAAAAAAAUAAUAAUAAUAAUUUAAGACAAAAAAAUAUAAAAGUCAUUUUAACAGGAAUAUCUGGACUUGAAUCAUUCAACCCCCUGUAACUCUCUCCCCAUCCUGUGUAGUAACCAAUCACCCUCAAGCUACGUGACAAAGACACUACACUUCCUACAGGAAGUAUUCACACACCUUGAAUUUAUUCCACAUUUUGUUGUUGGAGCCUGAAUUUAAAAUGGAUAUAUUUUGGGUCCCUGGCAAACACACACAACACCCCUAUAAUGUCAAAGUCUACUUUUUUAAUAAACAAGUUCAUUAAAAAAAAGGAAUAUCUGAAAUGUCUUUUGAGUCAAAAUGUGUUUUAGUCACAUCAGUGUCAUGGACUCGCACUGUGUUAUAGUAGUGUUUAACAUGAGUUUUUAAUGUUUACGUUAUCUCUGUAACUCACACACAUACAAUUAUCUGUCAGGUCCCUCAGUCGAAGAGCGAAGAGCGAAUUUAUAACACAGAUUGAUGACCUUAAUGACUUGGAGAAGAUCUGCAAAGAGGAGUGGGACAAAAUCCCUCCUGAGAUGUGUGCAAACCUGGUGGCCAACUACAAGAAACGUCUGACCUCUGUGAUUGCCAAAAAUGGGUUUUGCCACCAAGUACUAAGUCAUGUUUUGCAGAGGGGGUCAAAUACUUAUUUCCCUCAUUAAAAUGCAAAUCAUUUUAUAACAUUUUUGACAUGUGUUUUUCUGGAUUUUUGUUGUUGUUAUUCUGUCUCUCACUGUUCAAAUAAACCUGCCUUUAAAA